AUAUAUGUUAAGUGGAAAAGGAUGUGGGGUUGCUUAGACAACCAGGAUGUUGGCUUAGAAGCAGCCACCAUUGAAAGAGUGCGUAAUAGCUCACUGGUCGAGUGACCCCGCGCCGAAAAUGUACCGGGGCUAAACAUAUUACCGAAACUGUGGAUGAACCUCUUUAGAGGUUCGUGGUAGGAGAGCGUUCUAAGGGCGGUGAAGUCAGACC
rnacentral:rRNA from 1 species